rnacentral:rRNA from 1 species
GACGAACGCUGGCGGCGUGCUUAACACAUGCAAGUCGAACGGAAAGGCCCUGCGUUUGUGGGGUGCUCGAGUGGCGAACGGGUGAGUAACACGUGAGUAUCCUGCCCUUGACUUUGUGAUAACUUCAGGAAACUGGGGCUAAUACCGGAUAGGAUCUUCUGCUGCAUGGUGUGGGUUGGAAAGUUUCGGCGGUGGGGGAUGGACUCGCGGCUUAUCAGCUUGUUGGGGUGGUAGUUGCUUACCAAGGCUUCGACGGGUAGCCGGCCUGAGCGGGUGACCGGCCACCAUGGGACUGAGAUACGGCCCAGACUCCUACGGGAGGCAGCAGUGGGGAAUAUUGCACAAUGGGCGGAAGCCUGAUGCAGCAGCGCCGCGUGCGGGAUGACGGCCUUCGGGUUGUAAACCGCUUUCGCCUGUGACGAAGCGUGAGUGACGGUAAUGGGUAAAGAAGCACCGGCUAACUACGUG